GGGAGAGAGAUUUCGACACUUUCAUAACUUCAAAUAAAGGAAAGGGGGAAGGAAUAGACAGUAGCUGAAUCAUAGAAAUCAAAAUCCAAUUCUAAGGCAGCAACAUCGGAAUGAUAACUAUAUACGAGAUAAAUCCAGAAGUUCGAUGCCGUUUUCACAUUAAUACUGUCACUAAAGAGACCAAAUUAUGCUGGAGUCAAAAUACUACAAGAUAAAACAAAACAGGCAUGAAGAAAUCUUAGCUGAAACAGAAACUAGAAAGGAAAGAGUUGUCAAAACAAUGGUGCUUGCUGAACAAAGAUACAAUAUUUCAACUUUUGAGAAGAACCAUGAGACAUCAAUCAGGUAAAAGAAUGCUAUGAAACUGAUAUUGAAUCGAACAAAUGAAACUAACAUCUAAUUAACACGACCAUCACGUAACAAUAAGAUGCUAGAAUACAGUGAACCUUAAGGCCCUUAAUAUAAAACUCACACACUUUAAGAGACAUGCUUAACUAAAAUACAAACUGAAAUUCUCAAUGGACACAAGCAGUAAACAAAUAGAGCAGAAAACAACUUAAAGACAUUACUCGAAAGAACAUUAUCUCUGAAAUGUUAAGAUUAGUAGGGAAUUUUACCCUUUCGAAGGCAGCAAGCUGAAACUGGACGAGCAGAGCAGCGAGGAAGAGCUUCCACCACUGAAAUGGGAUUCCAAAAACUCCGACGAAUCGAGCAGAGGUGAAUGAGGAAAGGACUAAGUAAAAUCCAUUUCUUUUUUUUAAAAAUAAAAACAGAAUGACCAAACUGGACAGGAAUUCAGCAGCCUUGAUUUGUGUCAAUAUAGUAAGCUGCACAAAAGAACAAACAAUAACUUUUAACAUACAAUCAAACUACACGGAAAUGACCAAACAGAAAGUACCCAAAUUGCAGGACAUAGAAAGAUAGAAAUGUGGACCAAAAAAAUCUUCAAAUCAAGAAAAAAGCUCUAUCUUUAUCCAAAUUUCACAGAGAACAAACAAAAUCCCAAUAAUUAAAUUCUGAGUUUUUCAAAAACUGAGGUUAGAAAGAGCAAUAGCAAUAGAACCACCAACUCUUCCAGUUACUUUUAAUGCCCCAAUUAAUCUAAUAAAAACAAUCAAAGAACCAAAUAAUGAUAAUAAUAAAAACACAAGGAGCACAGAUGAAGAUGAAAUUAGAAAUACAGAAUGAGAGCAGUGUGGUCGAUGCCAAGUGAAAUAGAGCUUAUCCUUCACAUUUUUGCCUCUUAGCUAGAAAUCUGACAUAUAAAUGAGAAAAGGGGAUAGUAGGCCAAUCAAAUGAAGAAUGACAGGUUGCAUAUACAAAAAAAGAAGAACGCACUCAUAAGAACUAUUAAGAAGUAACCGAAUGAUUCAAACUACAUAUGCAUCAUCAUACAUAUGAGUCCCACAAGUGGUAUAGAGGAGCUCGACACCCUGUUAGAUAUUUGAGUAAAUGCCCAUUUAGAAGCUCUAAUUAACAAGGAAAGAAAUAAAGAUAGAUAUACCAUCUAAUGCAUCUAACAUCAGAUGCUGCUGAAUUCCUAUCCAUUUUGGUUUUCUCCUGGUACAACAUCGUUGAUUCAAUGAUCCAAAUACGUACAAGGCAUAAAUAUAAAAACCACCGCCAUGUAGUGCUUGGCAGAGUCAGGCUCAAAGCGAGGGACUGCACAAGGCUGGGGUCUCACAUUGGGAUUUGUCCAGCAAGCCCCUGUCCCACCUGAGCUACAUGUUUUUUCCUUCCCUUUCCCAACUUUGUGCAUACGUCUUAAAUUCUAGAUAUUUCCUUAAUAUGUAAUGUAAUAUUGAUGAAACGAUUCAUGAGUCUUGUAUUACUAAGCUAGUUACAAAAUGAUCUUGUAGAUAUAGCAAAACAUAAUGUGGACGAAAUCUUGACUCAAGAAGGUAAUAAUAUAAUGGACAGACUUUGGUGAAUGGUUGAGACAUAAAUAUUUUACUGUCAAAUCAACAUGGAACUACAUAAAGACACAUUGAACAUGGGAAUGAUAUGUAUAGAUUCUAUAUUUGGAUAACCCAUCAUGCCAUUCAAAUAUCUUUCUCUAGGUGAAGAGCAUAAAAAUUUAAAGAUUUCAAUUGACAAUAAACUAAGUUGUUAUUGAUGUGUUGGUGUUGCACAGAUUCAAAUUAAAUUAGGAAUCGUGCAGCAAAGGUACCAAAAGAGAAAAGUGCUAUUGUCAAAAGUUUUAAUUUGUCUCUCUUGAACACAAAUUCAUCAAUAUACAAGAAGAAGGGUUUGAAGCAAAGCAAAAUUGUAUGUUUCAAGCUAAAAGGAAUUCUAAGCAGUAACAACUAACAAGACCAUGACUGAUAUACCAAAUUCCCCAUUCUUACAAGUUUGAUUUCAAGGUAACAUAUAAAUUAUUCAAUCAAUCAACUAAGCCCCAAACCCUAUGUGAGAGGAAAAUUGGAAACAUUACCCGAAUACAUCAGGAUGAGAUUCAAGAAGCAUAGCAAUGUCUCUCCUCAUUUUCCACUGUCAUCUUCACCAUUGUCUUGCUGCAUACACAUAAAAAAAACUUGAUUUCUAUCCAAGAAGAAGUAAAAUUGAGAAAUUCAUCAUUUAGAUGAAGAAAUUCAACAAUCUUCAUCGCCUUCUUAAAGAGAGAAAGAGAGAGUAAAGCAAUGAGAAGAGUGUGGGUGAGAAUGGAAUUUUGAAAAAGAGAAGAGGUUUA
rnacentral:lncRNA from 1 species